rnacentral:rRNA from 1 species
GAUGAACGCUAGCGGCAGGCCUAAUACAUGCAAGUCGAACGGUCCACUUCGGUGGAUAGUGGCGCACAGGUGCGUAACACGUAUGCAACCUACCUUACAUUGGGGGAUAGCCUUUCGAAAGGGAGAUUAAUACCGCAUAAGACAGUAACAUGGCAUCAUGUAGCUGUUAAAGAUUUAUCGAUGUAAGCUGGGCAUGCGUCCAAUUAGUUAGUUGGUGAGGUAAUGGCUCACCAAGACGAUGAUUGGUAGGGGAACUGAGGGGUCAAUCCCCCACACUGGCACUGAGAUACGGGCCAGACUCCUACGGGAGGCAGCAGUAGGGAAUAUUGGGCAAUGGACGCAAGUCUGACCCAGCCAUGCCGCGUGCAGGAAGAAGGCGUUCUGCGUUGUAAACUGCUUUUAUAUAGGAAGAAACGACCAUUGCGAGGGGCAUUGACGGUAUUAUAUGAAUAAGCACCGGCUAACUCCGUGCCAGCCGCCGCCGUAAAAC